ACAUCACAAUGCAGAACCUUGCAAGCAGGCAGCCAAAGGUUCAGAGACAGCCCAGCAGGCUCACUUGUCUUGAGACAGUAGAGAAAGCAGGAUGCUGUCAUGCUGUUUGGGGAUUAUUGGAGACUCAGUUCAAACAUGUUUCAAACAUGUUCGCACGAGCAUGUUUGAAACACCUUCUGUGUGCAGGUAUGGAAACUUCCGCCGUGACUGCGAAGAGGAAGAGGAAGUGAGGAAGGAAGUGGGCUUGACAACAAGAGAGAGAAAGGUCCUGUCUCUGUAGAGCGGGCGAGUGGGCUCAUUUGGGUUCUAAGGGUAAGGGGUGGCCGAGGCUUGGGUCUCACACUCCUGGUUUCUAUACCAUACCGAGGUCUAAGCAUUGCCUGGGGGAUAACAAGAACUGCAUGGGCAGGGUCCUUAGAAGUGGGGAUAUGAGGAAAGUCCUGUGAAACUCUCCCCUCAUCUCAGUCCUUGUCGGGAAGGCUUGGUCAGCUGUGCUCCAUUAGAGUCAAGCAAGGGGUGUGUGGAUCUCCCUGCUCCCAUGGAACUCAUAGCCCUGCCCAUUGUACUCAUAUGUGUAAGGGCUGGAUGUCUUCUACCUGCAGUCUCACAUGAACGGAGUCUGUAAAGGGUGGCAAAGGAAAGUCCAGGCCAGAAUCAGGCUUCCUGGUGAAAGAUGGAGCCAGAGUGUGCCAAUCCAAAACAGUAGGAGUGGUGGACUGGCUGUGACAAAAUAGUACAGGAAAUUCAAGAUGGUGAAAGCAUUUGUUGAAAUUGGAGAUUUACUUCUAGCCCUAGAAAGAGCUGGAUUAGAGGGCAAGGUCUCAGAUUUGAGGCUGUUUCCAACAACUAUGGAAGACUGCAGGGCACCAUGUCCCUGGGGAGAGCAGAGGCCCUGGACAGACAUGCUUACCUCUUCCAGUGCACAAAUCAUGUCAUGGAUAGGCAUGGCUCUGAGCCCUAGGGUCUAGAGACUGCUUUGGUUGGACGGGUCCUGGAGCAGAUAGGACUAGCAGCCCUUCCCUCCUCCCCUCGGCUGCUGAGUGCCUCUGCACUCACCAUUGCAGGUCUCAGGCAAAAGGACUUUGACUUUUCUCCCUCAAGGAAUCUAAGCCCACACACUUAUAAGUUCUUGUAUAAAGUCACACACGUGCACCAGGUGACCACUCCUGGUCCCCCCGCCCGCAACUUUGUUUGACUAGGGGGCAAAGGUGGUGUGCGGGAACUUCUGCUUUUAAGGGGUUCUGCUGAGACUCUGCGGUCUUCCCGCAGCUGCUUCUUAAUAUGGGGACACAAAGAUGGUCACCUUCCGGAUGGUAUGACAUCUAGAUCAUCCCGAGUAGCUCAUAGCACUUAUGAGAGGACCUCAAGUCCUAGGGAUGGAGGCUUGGUUUAAUGCUAUGCUCUUAGUUCUGGAAUCUUGAUUGUUUGCAGGCUCUGUUGGAGGUAACCCUGAGCUGGGCGUUGCGGUGCGUUGUGUCAUCCUAGAACUUGGGAGGCUACAGCAGAAGGAUCAGGAGCUCAAGGCCUUGUGAUCAGUUCAAGGCCAGUUUAGGCUGCUUGAGACCCUUCAUCCAAAUAAGAAUGUAAGCUCUCAGCUUCCGGCUUCAGCACCAUGUCUGCCUGCUAUCCAGAAUAAAAGUGUCACACAAUGUCAGUGAAGGCACUCCUGAGCAGUUCAGCUUUGAGCUCCCUGGUUCUGUUUCAUCUUGAAUUGCAUGGGCACUGGUUGCUGGCAGGUCUCACCAGCAGAAACAUGAAUACUACAAUAGAUCUGACUACAAUGUAAGUACCAAACAAUGGGGCUUUAGAUAGAUACUGUACUUAAAAAUAAAUCACUAGCAAUGGCGUGGGGGAGGCAUCAAGACAGUGUUUUUCUGUGUAGCCCUGGUUGUCCUGAAACUCCCUUUGUAGACCAGGCUGGCCUUGAAUUGAGAGAUCACCUGCCUCUGUCUCCCAAGUGCUGGGACUAAAGGCAAACACAACCAUCACUGGUUGACUGGGAAGGGGGGCAAGCUAAAAUUGCCUAAUGACAUAUUCUAAAUUUGGUGCAAUUUCUUGCAUGAUUGCUCUACAAAUAAUAGAAUAUCAUGCAUAAAUAUUCAACAUAAACAAAAAAUACACGUAGGAAACCUAAACUAUUAAAAAAUUUAUGUAGUAUAUGUGUUUACCAAUGUGUGUUAAAUGCAUGGAUGCCCAUGCUAUGAUGUACGUGUGAAGUAGUUUUCUCCUUACACAUGGGUCCUGAGGGUUGAACUCAGGUGGUCGGUCAGCCUUAGUAGCAAAUGCCUUAACCCCGUUGGUCAUCACUGGUAUGGAAAUUUUAAUAUAAAAGAGACAAGCAACACAAUCUUGGUAAGUAAACUUUAACUGAAUAGAUGUCCAGAAAAAUAAACACUAUCACUUCAAAUGCAUUUUCUUUAUGUUUUUCUUCAUUUUGAUUUAUGUAGUAUAUGCACAGGUAUGUGAGCGUGCAUGUACUACAGUAUGCAUGUAGAGGCUAAAAGGCAGCUUACAUGUGCUGCUUAUCUUCUGACACAGAGGCCCAGGAGAUUAAUUUAUGUUGUCAAUCUUGACAGCUAUACUGAUAUUUUGUUUGGGAUAACAGAUAAAGCUUGCCUGAAUAUCAGAAUGUGGAGCUAAGCCACUCACUAGUCAUAGAUGCCAGGCAAUGGUGUCACAUACUUUUAAUCCCAGCACUUGGGAGACAGAGGCAGACAGAUCUCUGUGAGUUCAAGGCCACCUUGUGCUACGUGAGAUUGAGUCUGUCUAAAAGAGAAACAGAGCUUAUAAUGGUAUGUUAUCUGUAGUUUCAUAAACAAAUCUUGCCUGAAGAUCAGAGGCAAAGGUAAAGCCACCUAGGUAAGGUAAUGGUGACACACCUUUAAUCCCAGGAUUUGGGAGAGGCAGAGAGAUGUCUGUGAGUUCAAGGCUACCCUGGGCUACACAAGAUCAAUGCAG